AAAGCGAGAAAGCGUUGCCGCAGGCAACGACCCGAAGGGCGAAGCGCGCAGCGCUGAGUAAUCCUUCCCCCACCACCA
rnacentral:sRNA from 6 species